UCGUCGUAAAAUUCUAAAGAUUUCUCUGGAAAUGACCUUUCACAUGUAAGUCUGAAUAGUUGUUUUUUGGUUUUAUUUUGUCAUUAUAACAUUAUGUUUACAUUAGUUAGCCACCAAAGUUUAUAAGAAAUGAUAUAAAGCUUACAUGAUUCUUAUGAAGUCUGAGCUUAUUUUAUAGUUUAUGAGAUCAUCUCCGAAGAGCUUGUCAUAUAAUCGUGGCUCAUUUAUAUUUUGCCCAUUUUAGCCAGUAGAACCAGGACAGCACAAACCUCAUGGAAGUCUGAAGAAAGCCAUGAUCAGUCUUGCCCGGACCAAUAUGGCGGAUGAUAUUGACGUAUCGCAGCAACGGUCCAAAGCGGCCAAUGAGCUGAAACAAUAAGCCAUGGACCAGAAACAUUGUGAAUAUCAUUCAAAUAUUGAUGAGCACUGGUGAGGAUCAGGUCCCACUCUU
ensembl:lncRNA